GCAGCAGUGGCGUAGUGGUUAAGAGCAGGUGUACUCUGAUCUGCAGGAACUGGGUUUGAUUCCCAGCUCUGCUGCU
rnacentral:tRNA from 1 species